rnacentral:rRNA from 1 species
AGAUGCGAGAGUAGAGCAUAUCAAUAAGCGGAGGAAAAGAAACUAACAAGGAUUCCCUUAGUAACGGCGAGUGAAGCGGGAAGAGCUCAAAUUUGAAAUCUUCAAGGUUCUACCUUGACGAAUUGUAGUUUAAAGAAGUGUUUUCUGUUAGAUGAGUAGCAAAAGUUCCUUGGAAUGGGACAUCAUAGAGGGUGAGAAUCCCGUAUUUGGUUAUUCAUUCUAGCUUUGUGAUACACUUUCAAAGAGUCGGAUUGUUUGGGAAUGCAGUCCAAAAUGGGUGGUAAAUUUCAUCUAAAGCUAAAUAUUGGCGAGAGACCGAUAGCGAACAAGUACCGUGAGGGAAAGAUGAAAAGAACUUUGAAAAGAGAGUUAAACAGUACGUGAAAUUGUCAAAAGGGAAGCGUUUGACACCAGUGUUGUUUUUCCGAAAAUCAAUUACGAAUGGCUUGAUUUUGUGUUGUAUUGACCUUAUCAGCUUUCUUCACUUUUUUCGAGUCUUUCUUAAUGCACUUUUUCGGUUAACAAGUCAACAUCAAUUUCUUUUGUUGUAAAAGAGUAUUCGGAAGGUGGCUUUCUUUUCGGAGAAAGUGUUUAUAGCCCUAUACUUCUACAAUCGGAGAGAUUGAGGUCUGCAGCGUAGAUCCUUCGGGGUUAGAUACACUUGUGCUAAGUUGUAGCUUUUCAUAGACAACUUGUUGACUAUGUUUAGUCAUGCGGCUUACUCGCUUGUGCUAUUUUACCUACGCUUAGGAUGUUGAGCGCAUGUCUCUCUCU